AACCCCAUACGAUGGUCCUUAGAUGCUCCAUGGUGUAUUUGAACCCAUGGAUCCAAGGAAAUGGAAGGCUAUGAAAAUUAGGGUUUACCCUAAUUGUAACAACUAUAUAAGAUCAUAUUCUUUGGGGAAAAUCGGCCACAAUGCAUAAUAAGAAAGGGCUAGCCGAUUUUAGGAGUGUUCAAGUUUUUCUCAAGUUAUUCCAAGUGUAUUUGGUGUUGUGUGAACCAUUUGAGGUGUCACACUUGAGGCACUAGGCACACAAGCUUCAUGAAGACAUUCUACAUCAAAGAGGUAUGUAUUCUAUCUUGUUAUAUUCAUUAUUUUGUAUGCUAGAUUAGGAUAAUACCUUGGAUGUUCAUAAUUGAAUGUAUAAUAGAGAAAACAUAGAUCCAAGGUAUUUAGGGUUGCAUGUACACUUAGGAGUGUUAGAAUGCUCAAAACCCAACAGUGGUAUCAGAGCCUAGGCUUGUUUUCUUGUUAUACUUGCAAAAGUAGCCGGAAAAAAUCGAGUUUUGAUGAUGUCUGCACAGCAGACUCGCCGAGUCCAAGGAAAAAUUCAUCCAACUCGCCUAGUUGGUUUGUGCACUCGACGAGUUGGACUCCCUGACAGCAUAUGUUCUAUUGUUUUGGCUGGAAUUGGAUUAGGAACAUUACCCUAAGAUGUUUUUUGGACUUAUAAACUUGUUUUUGAUGUGGUAAUGUUCAUGCUAAUCCAAUUUCUAAGACAAUUGUCAUAAUUUCAAGAUUUGUAUUAGUUUGUAUGUUCAUGCUAAUUUCUUGAAGAUUGAUGAUUUGAAUUAUCUUGUUCUUAUGAGGUUCUUAGAUUAAUAGAAAAGUUGUGUGAAAUAGUUGAUUUCAAUCCAUUUUAAUCUAAGAGCUGAUUCCAAAGUGUGUUUUUGUAACUUGUCCUCAAGUUAUAUGAAAAAGUCACAUUUAAGAAUCAUAACACUCAUAAAAGUUGGCAAAGGUUACAAAAUGAAGAGUCUAGUUCAAGAGUCUCUUCAUUAAAUAAUAAAUAAAAAAAGUGUAACCUUAAUUAGUUCCAUAAGUUACAAUAAAAAAAAGAGUUAUUUUUUUUAUUAAGUAGUUUAAAGUCUUCCAUAACUUGUCCUUAAGUUAUGGAACUUGAAGAGUUUUUAAUUAAAACUACUUUAAACUCAUAAGUUAUGGAAUUAAUUAGUUUUAAAUAGUUUCAAAACUUGCCCUCAAGUUUUGAAAUUUGAAAAAAAUUUCUCUUAUGAAUACUUUAAUUCCAAGUUAAGCCCUUAGAAUUUUAAAAGUUAAAAUUCAACCCUUAUACUUUAUAAUAUUAUAAGUUAAUAAUAUUUAUAUAUAUGUAUAAGAGUAAAGUCAGUCUUACCGUUAGUAGGCCUCAUUCACGAAGCCGGUCUAUAAGGGGGGUAUAAGGUUACUGCCUAUAAAAUGGCAGUUUAAUGGGUGUCCACUCUCACCCACCACUUCCUUGACCGGUGGAGGGUCGUUAGCCGAACGGGUAGGACAAGGACUAUAAUUCUCCCUUCAUUAAAAGUAUUAAUGAUAAAUACUAAGUAACUAAACCUUUUAUAAAUACCCAAUCUUAGUUACUUAGGAAAAUGUGAAUAAGGUGCUAAUCCAUGAAAUUACACUUUGCACUUUGUUUAAGUCGGUUAGUGGAGCGUGUGUGGUUAACCGGCACACUAACUCGUAUUUAACAAGGUAGGCAAAGGGUAACUUAAUGUUUAUCAUAGUAUCGAUGGAGCGUGUGUGGUUAACCGGCACAUCGAUUGAGGGGUAAACACUUAAGGGUACCAAGUAAUUUGCAUGGUUACUUCACACCUUGUUUUGUGAUCCUCGGCAUCCCAGUCACAAAACCUGAAGGGCACACUCGAGAUUGAAACAUGCCAUUGAAAAGUUCAAUGAAUCUCAAAAGAUCUAGGAGUUUCAAAUCCAAUUAAAACCUAAUAAUACAUUUCGUUUAUCUUGGUGGAAAUUGGUGAAUCGUCAUUCACCUACCUUCAAAUAUUUUUUAGCUUGGAUUACGGCAUCCCUCUUCUAAGUUAUAAAAUAGUUUGUUGGGUCCUAGACUUAAUAUUUCAUAUUGGAUGUUAUAUUAAGGAAUUUAGAUCAACUAUCUUGAAUAUCUCCCAAAACAUGUCUGGUUUAGACAUUUAUGAUCUUCCCAAAUCUCUUGAAACAAGCUUUCCUAAAUGAAGAUGAUGUCCCAUUGAAAUCAUACUUCUUUCACCUCCUCCAAUUAUUCUCCCUAACCCACAAGUUCUUGAAAAGUGUAAGGUCACUCCAGCCCUAUUGGCAAGCAAAGGUCUAUGUGUGAUCACGCAUCUUGGAGAUGUAGUCACAUAUUGACAAGCCGGGAGAGUUGGGUGUCAAAGUAUUGAGAAAGUUGGUGGCUCAAUCACUUUCUAAGUCACAUAGUGAGUUCCUUUGGGACUCCUAUGAAACAGACUAUGACAAGACCCUUAAUAAUCUCAUCUAUUUACUAAGAUCAACUUCCUAAAAACUUUAUGGACAUUGACAAUAGUGACACUGGAAAUCCAGAAAAAGCAUUCUCUUCCCAAGGAAAGGGAUUGACCAUAGUCAACUAGGUUGAUCAAAUGGUAAAGAGAAAUGCUAAGUCUGUGACAGGCGCAUGUACCAUUAUCAAAGAGUCCAUAUGAUAAAUUGCCAAAGGAAGGGGCAUUGAUUGCGAAGCUGUUAAAUUUACCUAAGGAUGUUAAAGUCAAUAACUUUGACUCUACUUUAGGUAAAGUCCACUAUCUAACUCUGCUAAGUUUCUAUUCUGAGAUUCUUGAUAAAUGUUGUGACUGGGUCACAUGUUGAUGUUUUAAGAAUCAAAGAAAUGUGAAGAAACUUAAAGAAGGAAUAUGAUGAAUAUGAUCGCGUAGAUGGAUUUCUAUCGCAUAGUUUGAAGAUCGGAUUCUUGAGCUACUUCUUAGGAGUUAUGAUAUAUUGCUCAGGAAUAGAUAACAACAAAGUUUUCAUGUGCUAUUGCACUGUAAGGAUAGUUUUUCCGCAAAGUUUUUUAAAUAAGAGGAAAAUUUUUUAUUUUAUUUAUUUUAAAAUAUCCUUACAAUGGCUUUUGUUAAAAGUUUUGUUGCUUAUAAGAUCCCAUUAAUAGCAAGAGUGGAAAUUUGAAUUUGAUUCUUUCAUUUGUGUUAGUGUCUAAAUUUACCAAAUAAGGAAAGAUUCUCAUCACCCAAGUUUCAAUUGGACCGGAACUUGGAAUCAUGCAAGUUGUAUAGCAUGAUGAAUGAGAACUUUCAAGUUUUGGAAAAAUUAAGACUAAUUACUUGUUCACAUGGAUGUGUGAGUCAAGUAAAGGACUAAGGGAUCGAGUACACAUUCUUGUGCACUGAUUAAGUCCACCACAAAAGAUCGAUAAGAAUAUUCGUCAUAAUUUACUAAAGCUUAGUAAAUAUGGUUAUACUUACAGGCUAAAGUAUAAUUCUGAAACAUUGGAAAGUUCCAAUGUAUGGCAGAGCGAAUAAGAAGAAUCAACUUAUCCAGAAAGAUAAAAGUCUCUUAAAUCUGAAAAGAUGGGAGAGUACUUUAGUAUCAUCUUAUAUAAUCAUCUUAAUGAUUAAGAUACCUUAUCACAAUUCAUCCUCUAAGUGCACUCUGAUAGGCAAGGAGAGGAGAUAUGAAGNGAGUCAUACUUCGUUCCAAUACAAGUCUUAGAGUCAUACUCCAAGAUUGUAACUUGAGUGACAUGUCUUAAAGAAGGUUUAAAACACUUGUCAAAUGUAAGAGUAAAAGUUUUCUACUCUUGUACAUUUGAAAUUGGUAAGUUGUGAUGUUUUGGAUAAAACAAAUACCAACUAAGGCCAAUUGUGUGAAGUGUUUGUCUUGAUUACAAUCCAUACUAUCUCUUGAAUAUCUGACAAGAAAGUUGUAUAUGUCAAGAGGACAGUGGGAGUCUUAAAGGUCUUGAAACUCUCAAGAACUAAUCAAGAAUAAAACCUAAAGUUCUUCACUAGCACACGACUUGAGGUUUAUAACCUAUCUUGUUGACGUAUUCUGUGCCCAUUCCAANUUAAGUUGGCUAUACAUUUGAGUUCUACAUGUUCUCAAUUGUUUGCAUAACUACUUGGAAGCAAUGGCAGGCCCUUGAGCUGCCAGGUGGCAAGAAGUUAAGAUUGCACAAGUUCAAUCCAUAUGAGUUUGGAUUUGUCAUUAUCCUUGUCUUGUGACUAUGGUUUUGACAAUUCACAUGGAUAAGAACACUUACACCAUAAAAUCUAAGUGUCAUAAGGUUUCUCUUCGAUUCAUGAAAAUGAUGGUAAGGAAACUCUUUCACUAAGUAGAUUUUGAGUAGAUAGCAAUUUUGGGAAUGACAAAAGGUCUAAACAUUAUGAUUACGGCAACCCUCUUCAUAAUGGUUUAGACACACCUGUGAGCUAUCUAAGAGAGGUGUAUGUUUUUGAUAAAGUCUUAUCAAGGCAAUCUAGUAUCAAAAAUCUGAACUUUGGCAAGAAAGUUAAUAAAGUAUUGAUUUCUAGAAGUUCAGUUGAUUUCUGGGUACAUGUCAAAGCUAGUGGGAGCAUAAGUGUUAUGCUAAUAAUCAUCAUGUUAGUGGGAGCAUGAUAAUUAUGAUAAGAAUUGCAAGUUAGCAAUGUUAAUUAUAGAAAACAAAAGUUUCAAUUCGUGAGGUUGCAGGGGUUGAAAAAGUUGUUUUGCUAUAAUUAAGGGAGAGGAAAUUAUACUUCAUUUCAAUUCUAAAAAGCUUAGAUUGAGUUUAUAAUCAUUCUAAAGAGCUUAUAUUGAGAUUUUAAUCACCUUUAGUCAAGAAUAUAUAUAUGAAUUUCAUGUUGGAUUGGUUCAACUUAAGAACAUUCUAUAUAUUGCGUUCUCAAAAUUCGAUUAUGAUUACGACAUCCCUUUUCAUAGUCAAAUUUUGAGAAUAUGGAAAACAUAAAUUAUUAUGGCAAAAGACUGGUCUUGAACCCUGUCUUUAUGUAAACAUCAUGAAUCGUGUCCCAUUUACUUUGGGUACAAGGUCGAUUACAUGUGCUAUAAUAUUUAUCCUUUCUGAAUUUUCAAAAUGCCUUGGGGCAUUAAGGAGGAAAAAGUAUAGAAUUGGAUAUGACUAAAGUGAUUAAGUAAUUGUCGAGGACAAUCUACGGUUUACCAAAUAUUGGUUGCUCAAGGACAGUUGGAAGUAUACUGUUAAUACUGGAAGGACCAUAUUGACAUAGUCUGAAAAGAGGCAACUCUUGUUCAGAAGUGGUAGUCAANAAUAUGGAAAUGUUUCAAAGUUAGAAAGUAUUCAAUCUGUAAGAUUAGGAAACUUAAUGCAAGAAGGAUGUUUCCAUGGAGUUGAUCUCCAUUGGAAUGCUCUGUAAUGUUUGUUGUCAAGUCCUUGUGACUUUGUGCAUAAUCAUUACUAGAGGAUCAAUGCAUAUAAGUUUAGAAUCUAUCAAAUUUCGAUAAAUGGCAUGAAUUUUGAAUUCUUGCAUUUGCGGUAGGGAUUUUGGACUGUGAAAUGAGAAUCAUUGGAGUUAUGUUCAAUCGAUCUAUUUCACAAAGUAAAGAUCAUAGACAAACAUAGUGUGCAUACUUGGUGUAUGGCAUGACUAGUGUUUAGAAAACAUAGUGUACAUGCUUGGAGCAUGGGACAACUAUUGUUUUAAAUUCAAGAAUAAAGUUGAUAGCUGAAACAGUAUACAAUGAAUAAUGUGUAAUCAUAUGGUGAUAAAUAAAAGGUGUUUUAUUUAUGUUCAUAGGGUUGAUACCAUAUUGGAUUCAAUUAUUAUUGUGUUUCAUUUUGCAUGUUUUGACUUCCCGAAUAAACUGGGUUAUUCUUCCGGAAUGACUAAGUUAUUCAAACCAUCCACAGUCGGUCAUAUGUUGGAAGUAGAUAUGAAUUAAGACUGUCAUGGGUUGGCUUGUAGAGGUCUAAGGUGUUGGACAAAGGGCUACAACACUCAUGAGUGCUCAUAAGUUCUGAGUAUUGGAUUCAACCCGCGCUCAUUGGAAUCACUUCAUGGAUUUUAUCACGAGUGAUCAUGAGACGAUAAUAUCUUAUAUUCUUCAAACCUAGAGAUAUGAGUUGUUACUAUGAGUUGAUAGUACAUUGAUUGCACGAAAACGCAUUUGGUAACUCGGUGCUAUAAAACGUGCCUUUGUGUAUGAUUCAACAAGUAGUAGAACAAGCCAUAUGAGUCGAAGUUUAUCCAUUCCUUUUACCUUCGGGAUAAAAGCGAUAUCUGUGGGCCCCUCGAUGAUUUGAUGAUGACAAAUGGAAGUGCUCGGCCGGGCCAGGACUGAUUUGAUUUGUUCAAUUAGUCAGUCGUCAUAAAUCGGAAAUCGGGAAACAACAAAUGGACAGAGAGAAUGAUUAUAAUCCAUGUCUCAGUCCAUAUGAUAUCUAGAAUGGAGGAAUAUAUGAUCCCUUAUCUAAUGGACAAGUCAUUGACAAAGGUCAGAGUUCAUCUACAAGGUCAGAGUUCGACAGAAGCUUUUGAGAGCUACGAUUGCCAGUUGGUUCCUGAAGUCAUACGCAAUAAUAGUUUUAGACUUAUCCAAGUGGGAGACUGUUGGAUUAAUGUCUAAGUCCAUAACUAUAAUUGGUAAGACUUGACCCGACCCGGCAUGGUCCAUUUGGGUUGCAUGGCAUCAUGCACUUGGAUAGACUAUAAUGAGAGAAAUAACACUUAAGGUUGAUUAAUAUAUUAUAAGUUCUAAUAUAUUAAUAGGAUUAUUUAAUUAGUAUUGAUCAAGAAUUAAUCUAGAAUUAAUUAAGUGAUCAAAAGAAGACUAAUUAAAUAUAUGGGUUGAUUGUGUAAAUCAUCCAUACUUUUAUAGUGGUCUGAUGCUCCAUGGAUAAUCAAGUUGGGCUAAACCCCAUAGGAUGGUCCUUGGAUGCUCCAUGGUGUAUUUGAACCCAUGGAUCCAAGGAAAUGGAAGGCCAUGAAAAUUAGGGUUUACCCUAAUUGUAACAACUAUAUAAGAUCAUAUUCUUUGGGAAAAAUCGGCCACUAUGAAUAAUAAGAAAGGUCUAGCCGAUUUUAGGAGUGUUCAAGUUUCUCUCAAGUUAUUCCAAGUGUAUUUGGUGUUGUGUGAACCAUUUGAGGUGUCACACUUGAGGCACUAGGCACUCAAGCUUCAUGAAGACAUUCUACAUCAAAGAGGUAUGUAUUAUAUCUUGUUAUAUUCAUUAUUUUGUAUGCCAGAUUAGGAUAAUACCUUGGAUGUUCAUAAUUGCAUGUAUAAUAGAGAAAACAUAGAUCCAAGGUAUUUAGGGUUGCAUGUACACUUAGGAGUGUUAGAAUGCUCAAAGCCCAACAGUUGAUUG
rnacentral:lncRNA from 1 species